rnacentral:lncRNA from 1 species
AUGUCUUUCCAGGUAUUUUUGUUGCCCAAUCACCCUGUGCCUCCUGUAGUGAGCAGCUGGAAGCGGUGCCGUGCCCCAUGUGCCCAGGGAUGGGACACCACAUAUAAUGGCCGGAUCCAGCAAUUUAGAGAACUUGUGGGUUCUAAUGUCGCAACUACUGAUGUGAUUAGCUUAUAUUGAGAUGAAGUAGCAAUCAAAAUAGUUUUCUAUAAGGUGACCGUCAGAGCAAAAUAUGUGAAUGAUGUUACAAUAAAGUUUCAGUUCUGUGUCAUUGGGACUAGUAGAGUUGCAGCAGCAAGUGACUAAGCGAAUGAACUUGUAUUUAUAGUAACUAGUAGUUACAAAUAUUUUUUAAGAUUGGAAUUAAUAUUUGCAUUUUCUACCUCCGUUAUAAAUUUUAUGAUUUGUAUGUAAAUUCGUCUUUUCAAAACUAAAAUCCUAUGUCUGCUCCUAAUUUCAAGUAUGCAAACGAUGGCUUUGAUUUUGGACUUCAAAUUUGUAGAUGAACCAAAAUUUUGGAGGCUCCAUCUUCAUUUUGCUUUUGACUUUUUCAACUCCGAAAUUUCAACUUUAUCCUAUUAAUAGCUCAUUCAAAUUUUUGUACAUUCAUUUUCUUGGGAUUGUUCUUCAUGUGUCUGACUCUCACUUAGGGCUGUCCAAGACCCGACCGACCCGAUCCAACCCUAAAAAAACACCUUCGGGUGAGUUCAAAUCGGGUUGGGUGUUCGUUACUAAGUGAGACUCUCAUUUAGUGGCGAAACCAGAAUUUUUGAGAGUUGAAGGAGAAAAAGAAAAAAAAAAUCGAUAAGAUAUUCACUUAUUCAAAAAAAAAAAAUACUAUCUGAAUUUAGAUAAAUAAAGUAUUUUUUUAUAGAAAUGGAUAACUUGCUUGCAAAUACAUUUCAACAUUUUCAUUUUAUAAAUACGAACUUUGUUUGAGAGAAAGGAGUAAGAAUUAAAUUUUUACUAAUUAAAGUUUACUUUACUUAUAGUUUUUUUUUAAUUAGAAUUGACCCUCGUAAUCAAUUUCUAUAUUGCUUUAAAAAGAAUUUCGUGGAUUCAAAUUAUAUAAUUAAUCAUAAUUUAAAGAAUAAAUUAACUAUAUUUACCAUCUUUUUCAAAUUUUCAGUGAGUUCAACCCCUUGUCCCAUUAAUACCAUUUAUAUCAUUAAAAAUAAAAAAAUUAUAUUAGCUAAAAAAAUAAAAUAAAUCUUUCGUAUGAGAACGAGCCAACUGUGAUGUAGAGAUCCCAAUAAUAUUAAAUUGUGAAAUGACUCCUUUACUUGAAAAAAAUUCUAAGAAAAUACAUAAUAUUUGACAUUCAUCCAUUAAAACCUAUUUUAACCGUGCUUAUAAAAACCUAAUUUGUCUUGCAUCCUAAUGUGUAAACAGGAUCUCAAUAGUUCGUGUCAUCUCGUGCAAGGAUUCCAUGAGAGAAAUUUUUUCUCUCCUUUUCUUUCUUGUUAACGUAUUCAGUCCCCAAAGUUCAAGUCCAAUUACAACAUCAUAGAGAGAAAAGAAAUCGGAGUCAUUCUUUACCAUUAAUCAGAAAAGAUAAUAUUAAUAGAAUAGAGAGAAAAAAGGUUAAUGUUUGGUGUAAUCUGUUUAUAAUAAAAAAAUAAUGAUAUCAGAUAUUGCGAGAGGGAGAAGUAUAAAUGUUGGCUAUCUAGUAGAGAUUUGGGGCUUAAUAUUUUUAAACUUGUUAGGAAAGAAUAGAAUAUCCUCCCAAUUUUCAUUGGGAAAGAAUUUAUUAAGCAUAUAUAAGAUUUUUAUUAAAAUGAAUAUUUAAUUAUGGAAGGCUUUUCCAUUUUGAUGCACUACUUGAGGACCAUUUAUAUGUUUUUUAAAAAUAAAUCUUUGAAUUUCUUUUUCACAUACAACAAAGAGAGAAUAUUUUACAAAUUGCAACUUUUUGGAACAUAAAAUUGUAGUUUAGCAUGUAAAUCAACGAACGAUUCAAUUUAGUUUUAAAAACGACUAGCUUGGGAAUCAUAUUUUCAUUUUCCUUAUACAUUCCUAUCACUAACACUAUCUUACAAUAUUGAGAAUAGACGGACAUAAUUCAAAAUUUGGGCUACAAAAGUGACAUGCAUUGCAUCUUUAGGAGACGUCUUUCAUCAAACGACAUUUAAAAAACUGAACCAAGCUGACUCAAGUGAAAACUUAAGAUGAAAUGAACUUAACGGACUCAAAUUGAUAUAGUGCAUACUUUUAAUGACCGUUUAAUGUAUUUUACUCUUUUAUUUUUUUUAUUUUUAUAAUAAGAGUAUUACCGUGAGUUGCGAUUGAAAAUUAUUUGUCAUUGAUGCGUCAAACUAAGAUAUGGUGUCAAACAACCUUAUGUGCUUAUGCGUACGUUAAAUUAACAGAGUAUGUGGCCAAGUUUUUUUUUAAUACUGUAUAAAGACAAUUAGGUAUGAUGUUAUUAACACUUUUUUUUUUGUUAGUUCUCAUCUUUUUUCCUGAGGACACCAGCAAAUAAUGAUAUCCUCUAGAUUCUUUAGCCCUUUUACACCCAAUCUGAAAUCUUUAAAAACCCACAUUGGGAGUCGAUGCUCAAUGAUAUGGCCGACAAUGCUUGCUCAUUUAGCUCUUCUCAUCUUAACUCCUAUUAUACAUAGCACACCUAUUUAGCAUGUAAAAUGAGUUGAAAGUCCCAAAUAGACAAACAUAAUGCAAGGUUGGUGAACUAUAGAAUAUUCUGAUAUGUGUUGGCUUCUGUUAAUGUUUUGUUGGUUAUUUCUGAUGAAACCAGAUUUUUCCAGUCGGACUCAUUCUUUUAUUCGUCCAAGUAGUUGCACAGGUUGACAGUUUGGAAUAAAGCAUAACCAUCUACAUUCAAUGUUGCUGUGGACCUUUUGUUGUGUUGGAGAAAUGAUAUUUUUUAAAUGCAUUUUUCUUCAGAUAUAAAGCUUUUUUGAUGGAACUAAUUCUGGUAGCAGACAACAACCCGCAAAUGUACACCCACACUAAAUAGGGUGGUUCCCCACACCAAGAGUUACGUGGGGGUCCUCCCCUAAUGUGCGGCCCGACAUGGUUCAUCUGGUGCAGUGUUUGCGGUGGUCUUCUACCAUUUUGUUUAUGGAAUUGUGUGUGCGCUGACGCGCAACGAGCUUGCCGUCUGUAUGCCUUGUGUCUGUUAGCACUCUUUCCCGUCUGCAUCAUGUUCAAUGUGUCUCUUUGUUUAGUCUCAACUAAUUAACAGUAAUUGUGAACCAUUCUUUCCACAGUUACUUCGGUUUAUUUUGAACUACAUCUUCAAUUUCUUAGGCAUGUGUGGCGACUGGAGUUAUGUAUGGGAUAGUGUAUCACUGAACUGGGUAUCGAUGAUCAACAGGGAUUUGCUUUAACAUUUCCAAGAACUACCCUUGAAUUCCAAAUAGUAAUUGAGAGGCAUGCAAUGGAGGCAGGCGUGCUUAUUGUCUUGAUCUUUUUAGCUGGUCCCAGCGACUGAAGAGUGAGUCUUACUGUUGACAUGCUUGUGCCAACAGGUCGUUUAUAAUCACUCGUUUAUCUUUGAAUUUGAAAUUUGUGGCUGACUCUUUUGUUUUUCUUUAUUGAGCAUGGCCUUCUUCCACCAUACCCUCAGGAGUAGCCAAUCUUCGUGUCUCAAUCUUUGAAGGCUCUAGGCUCCUUGACAGUCCCUUGUGCAAAUAGAAUCGCUGAAUUCCCACACUGACUUGGAAUUGCUUCAGCCAUUCCCCCUGGAAAAUCCUUAGCAUCAGCAUGCUGUAGAGCUGGAGCAGCUCAUUCAUGGAAGGGGCUUACAACCGUGUCUUGAGUGCGAGACCGACGUGUACCUCCAUGAAACUUCCUGUUGAUUUCAUGGAUCUGCUGGCCAAGAUGGCUCCGGUAUUUUGAACUUUACUUAUGGCGUGAUCGAAAGGAAUGUCAGUAAUUGAAAUCAUGCUGACUCUGUGACAGAUGCAAAUCGCUCUGCCUUUUUCAUAUGCAUGUGUGUCACUUGGUACACUUUGGCCUUUCAUAUGCAUUUGUGUACGUGGUAGCAACUUUGUUGCUUUCCUCUGAAUUGGUAUUAAAGUGAACAAGUCCUAUGAUGGUCAACUUGAUUUUGUUCUGAUUUUACAUUUGUUCAUAAUAGUCAAGUGCUGAACUUGAAGAGGAAUUUUACACCUCAUCACUUCUUUUUAAUUCAACUUAAGUGCCAUAUGCAGUUUUAGAAAAUGUAAGUAUUGGUUUUACGUGCUUAGUUUUGUUCAUUUGUUUUUGCAUAGAUGAAAUAUCCGGAUGCAUGAAAAGGCUUUGAUUCACUUUCAUUAAUACUGCUCGACAAUUGUUGCCUUUCUCGUCAGACGACGAACUUUUUGAAUAUGUCAGGAAGUAACUUCCUCUUAGUUCAUUUCAUUUUGACUGUUUAACCAUUAUAAUUAAUUAAUGGUUGUUUUCCUAGACUGAUACCCUAUAGUUAUGGGCAAUACUAUUCAUCUAACUAAAAAUAUUCAGUAGCUUCAAAUUAAUCAUCCUAUAUUCAGUGAAGUACACACGAUGCUGCGGACCAUGUGCAGAAAAUAAUGAUUUGCAUCCUCCUGAUGCCCAAAACCGAACAUGAAGUCGAGAAAAUGGAAGUACAAGUUGAUUGUUAGAUCAUGAUGUCUUCUAAAAACUAGAAAGGAAAAUGAAACUGAUAAUAAAUUACCGGAAGGAGUUUGCCACUGAAAAGGCAGACCUAUUAAGAAGUGCAGUAAAGAUCUUAAAAAUGAAAUGGAAACAAAUUUUUCAUCAUAGGGAAAGAAGGAACGCUUAAACAUAAGCUAAAACCCCACCAACGUGAGGAAAUCCCUAGGGUCAGAAACCGCUUCCGAGUGAAAAUAAGCGUUAAUGCUCGUAAAUUGGAAGAGGAAGUUUGGUUCGCCGAAAGAAAAAGAGGACAUUUCCAGAACGAAUCGAACAAACAAAAGGAAAGAGAAGAAGCAAAAAAGAAUAAAGAUCCCUUAGCCGAGAUGUAGUGGACAAACUUGACAUGCUCAUCGAACAUACAG